rnacentral:pre_miRNA from 1 species
AUACUACUCCCUCCGUUCUAAAUUACUCGUCGUAGAAAUGGAUGUAUCUAGAACUAAAAUACAUCUAGAUACAUCCAUUUCUACGACGAGUAAUUUGGAACGGAGGGAGUAGCAA